AAGAUGGCGACCGGCGCACGGGUGAGUAACACGUAUCCAACCUGCCGAUAACUCCGGAAUAGCCUUUCGAAAGAAAGAUUAAUACCGGAUGGCAUACGAAUAUCGCAUGAUAUUUUUAUUAAAGAAUUCGGUUAUCGAUGGGGAUGCGUUCCAUUAGUUUGUUGGCGGGGUAACGGCCCACCAAGACUACGAUGGAUAGGGGUUCUGAGAGGAAGGUCCCCCACAUUGGAACUGAGACACGGUCCAA
rnacentral:rRNA from 1 species